GCCCCGGUGGUGGAAUUGGUAGACGCGUCGGAUUCAAAAUCCGAUGCCGCGAGGCGUGUCAGUUCGAGUCUGACCCGGGGCACCA
rnacentral:tRNA from 1 species